rnacentral:lncRNA from 1 species
UUUUUUGUUAAAGCAUUUCAUCAAACUUGGUUGUAUGUAUGAAUUUGAUCAUAUGAUUCAAAAUCCUGCAGCAAUUUUCUUAAGAGUUAAGACACUUAUCUGACAUUCAUUAGAAAAAACAUACCAUUAAAUUUAUGAGUUCAAUUUGUAAUUUCUACCAUGCCACUGCAGCGCCAACUCGUCCUUUUUAACCUUCUCUCUCGCGUUCCCUUCCUUUAGGUAAUCUUCCAUGCUUGUGCUACGCACUUUAUUGCUUCCUUCUAUCAAUAAUAACAUAUUGUAGGCGGGUUUAAAAUAUUUAAUUUCUUUCAUAAUCUGGAUAUUGUUUUUAUGAUUCUUUUUUUUACACAUUUCGAAACCACAAGAGUUGAUUUCUCAAAUAUUAAGUGUUACAUAAAAUGGUUUGGGCGAAAACUUGGUUGUUGGUAACUAUGAUAUGUUUCUUGUUUCCUUGCAUCCCUUAGUGCGCAUGCUCACUUUAACUUGUUGGACUAAACUGGGCAAAAAAUGCACAUGUUCUUUGGUUACUAUGUACUAAUAAAGAACAAUCUCAACUUGAAAUUUCUCAAGUUGGCAAGCUUAUAUUACCAAAUUCUUGACUUAGAACAAAUGUAAAAUGCAUUAGUUGGGCG